AGGUGUCCUAUUUGUUACUGGGAGAGUGGUGUUAAAGUUUCCAAUGAUUCUGUGCAGCAAAACAAGGAAAACAUGUAACAAACAGACCAACCCAAAAUAGGUAAGUUGUAUUUGAUCACUUUCAUAACAACUUGUACACUGUGUAUUAUCACUAAGUUAUAUAACAAACAUAUCCAUAUUGUUUUCAUUUUUGCAUUUUUUAUUGCUCCCCAAAAUCAUUUGCAAAGCACUAAAGAGAUGCUAAAUAGUUAUAUGACUUAUCUAGGAUCACACAGCUAUUAACUGCUUGAACCUAACAAACAUAAUUGAUUUCAAUUGAUUUAAACUGAAAUUCACUAACUAAUUCAACCAACACUGACUGCAUGCCAGACUCUGGUAAUAUAAUGGUGAGCAAAAAGAUGCUGAGCUUGGAUUAAAACUGCCUUAUAGAUGCUGGUGGAAAGACAGACACAUUUAACCUGACCAGGAGGGAUAUUGAUCAGGCUUUGAUUGGCCAGAGAAACUAAGAAAGGGUGCAGAAAUAAGGUCAUAUGGAUAACCAAAGUAGCUAAGUCAGAGAAAAGUAGAGGAUGGGAGAAUGGUUAAGAGGGAAAAUGAAUGAAUGAGAUAUUCAGUUUGAGGCAGAUAACAGACACAAAAUAGAGGACACAUCUAUGACCAAAAAUUAUUGGAAAUAAUUUCUUAUCCUUUCUCGUAAGAGUCAUUACCAUGAGAAUUAAUUACAAUUCACACCCAAUUUCCAAAAAAAUAAUUAUGGUUUGAAAUGUAUUUUCAUUUUUCAUUAACACUUACUCUUUUGUCUCAGUCUAAGAACUAAGGAAUAUUGCAGUAAAUCCAGACAAUGAACUUCAACAGCCAGAUUUUGAUGUCUGAUUAAAAGCUACAAAAUAUGUGUGUGAAUGUUUGCAACUCCAUGCCUUCAGCCUUAAGAGUGAAAGUCAUACCCUACACUUUCCCUUAGUAGCUAAUUAUGGAAAGUUUGAUCUAAAAGUGAUACCCAUCUUGAAUACAUUUAUAUUCAUUUCACCUUGGGCAUAGCAUUCCUCAAUUCAUCACUCAUUUAAUAUUGUACUACUUUCAUUUCUGGUUGUAACAAUUUUCUUUAAAUAUCAAGAGUUACCUUCAUACCUAUUCAGUGAUAACAUUUGGAAUCUAAAUGCUUAUUGUCUCUAUCUCAUUUAUAUUUAUAGAAGUAUCAGUAACAUUAGUUUUCAUUUUUACCAGAAAAGUCUUAGCUUAUUUGAUGGUCUCAUAAUUUACCAGGAACAUAUCUAUUAUUUUCUUUCAGAUACAGUUCUAUGUUCAAUAACAGUUUUAUGAUUGUGUGGUAGAAGAAACAUCAGCAUACUUCUUUAUAAUUACUUUAUUCUUCAUUACUACUUUAAAGUUACCUUCAAGCCAUCCAUUCAAUGUAAUUUUAAAUACCUACUGUAUGCCAUCUACUAUUCAUUUAAUUCAGCAACAUGUUGAUUUUGUUCCCUCUCUUUUAAAGGAGAUUUAUUUUGUUUUGCCAUAGAAGAAUCCAGAAAGAUUAAAAGCCCAUGUAUUCUAGCAAUAGUUACCAGAAAAUUUUUUACAAUACAUGACUCUAACAUGCCAGAAGAAAACUGCAUUGAAAAUGAUAUAGUCUAAUAAGAAAUACAUUUGAAAUUGAAAAUUAAGUAUACUUUUGCAUAUCCUGAUCUGCUACUAUGCCUGCUUCAUUUGCAUGCAAAUAAGGGUUCAAUAACUAUUUUAAUUGCUAUAUUCUCCCAAAAGCAAGGAAAGAAGAUUCAAAAUAUAUGUAUUAUUUUGUAUGGGGAAGAAUGUUAAUAUUCACCAAAUAAUUACCUAAUUUACAUAGUGAUUAGACUCAUCUGCAAUAAAGUAUUUUUAUAAAUAUACAGAGAGAACAUUAGACGUUGUGAAAUUUGACAAGUGAAAUAACAAGCAAAUCUAAUAAGGAAAAUUGUAUGCAGGUGAAAGACUUCUAGUACAUUAUUUUUAAUAUAACUUUAUUACCAGUGUCAGAAUAAUAAGUCAAAUCCUUAAGCAUUCUGUGCAUCAUAUUUGGUAGGUGAGAGGGGAAAAGCAAAUAUAGUUAAAAAAAUAUUGAACAUGAUCAAACACAUCUGAAAGAGAUAAAUUCCUCAGGGAAGAAUUUCCACCUACAUAAUUUCAAGUGGAGUAAUCUAUUUUCUAAUUAGCAAGGAAAAAAUCCCCUGUAUAUGACCUUGAAUUCUAAAAUAUUAGCUCAGAGGGAAUAUUUACAAUCCAGAGGCUCAGAUGCAUAAUGAAAAUACGGACAUGACUUUUACUGUUGUUAAAGUUCUUUUUAAAUCAUUCUUGGGCAUAAUCAGCCUAUGUUGACUGACAUUUAUAGUAUGGAAAUUGGCUGGAAUACAAAUGCAAUGGCGUUUGAAAUUAGAAAACACAUUACUGAGAAGGCAGGUUAAAUAUUUGUGGUGUUUAAAGCCAUUUUUCUUGGUAGAACCAAUACCUUUGUUCAUUUUGAUCAAGCUUAUAUUCUAAAUGGGUUUUACACAUUGAAAUUAUUUUAGUUCUCUAAUGCUGCUUUGUCAGAUUAUAGGUAGUUGUUAUUCAUUUCAGAGAAAUGUGUUUUUCAGCUUUCAACAUUCUAAGUAUGAUAAAGGAGGGAAGGCUGUAGGAUUUAAACAUGGUGAGUUUGUCAGAUAGGAAUGUGUGUGAAAAGAACAAACAGCUUGAAUCAAGGAAUCAGCAAACUGACUGGAUUGUGAAUGUUCUUUUCACUUACUUGUUUGUGGUUUUAUAGUGACCAAGAAACAAUAAUUAUAAGAUGAACAGGGAGGCUGAGAAGUGUCUAUGAAGAAUGAAGAAACCUAACAAAAAUGUCCAGUUUAUAACCUUUCUCCCCAGAAUCUAGGACAAGAUAGACAUUCCCAAGUUUCUGGGAGAAUCCUGAGGUGCUGUCUGCACUGACUUGGAAACUAAAAUCAUAAGGGAGAGGAUGCCACCGCAAAAAUCUAUCUGAAUUCUGGAGUCAGCCAGACCUGAGUUGGAAUCUUCUCCUUCAUACAUUAUCUGAUCCUAGGAAAUUACCAUUUAGAAGUUCAGGUUCAUGUACAAUGAGAAUGACAAUUAUUUCUUUCAGGGUUAUUUUGAGUUUGUAGAACAUGGCCAAUUUAAUAAAUAAUGGCAAAUGCAAAAGGUUCAGGAACCUAGAAUCCUGGGAUAGUUCUCCCUUCAGCAGCCAGCUUUCCUUAUCCUUUUGAGAUACAAGGAUUCUCCAUCUGUGAUGGUUUCUCUGGUAUGUUUAAGAGAGCUGACAUGUAACAUCUGCAAGGGUUACAACAUUUGUGUGUUUUGAAAUUACUUAAUGUAGUAAUAGGAAAUAAAACUGUGAUUAUAACUUCUACAAUUAUAAAAUGUUUAUUUGUCUAAAUGCCCAUUCAUGUGAGAUUAUGCUAACUUUUGGUAUGAAGUUUUAUUGUACCUGAUACAUAGUUGCAACUGAAAUUUAUCAGAAGUGCAAAUUCUCUAAAAGUAGAGAAUUCACUCUGAGAAACUUCAGAGUAUUCUAGGCACUGAAGAAAUUUCUGUGAUGGGAAAAGAAUAAGAAAGGUGACACUCAGGAGAAUAAUCCUGUACAAACUCAUCCAGAGAAUGAAAAAUGUGGGAAUAUCUCCAAAUAAUUAUGUAAGGCCUUCAUAGCCUGAUAUCAAAACCAAAAAAGUACAUUGCAGGUCAAACAAAAUACUGGCAAGGGGAAUUUUUCCAGAGAAUGCAAGGGAGGCUAAGUAUUAGAAAAUCUAUAAAUAUGACUCUCCAUAUUAAAAGAUUAAGGGAGAAAACAACACAGAGAUGCUUUAAAAGCAUCAAAUAUUAUUUAAUACUCAUCUGUAAUUUGAAUUAUUUGCAUGCUAACUUUAAAAGGAAAAUUUCUUAAGUAAAUAACUGGCACCUAUAAAAACCUCAGUAAAGAAGGAACCGUUCAAAAUAUAGUGUUAGGACAAUUAUUUAUUCUAGAAAUCCACACUUUGAAAAGCCUGUUUAUUCUUUACGAUGUAUUUGUCAUGAAACCCAGAGCAAAUGUCAUAAAUUGUCUGUGGUACAGAAUCAUAAUCUCUAUAAAGGGGCUGUUGCCUGACCCCUGUCUAACUUAAUGAGAUGAAUUCAAUUAAAGGAGAAAGAAGCUAAUCUAUCCCUGUGCUCAUAGUCAUUGUAAAAAACAGAAAGGAUUGUUUUUUCAUGCACUUAUGUUGAUAUUGCUUCUGUGAUCUUGCACCUCAAUUACUCCUGCUGUCAAAGUAGAUAAUAUUGCUUUAGCCCUUGGUACCUUGAAUGUGGCGGGAGAACAGGGCAGCACCAGCAUCACAUGGGAGCUGAUUAAAUAUGCAGAAUCUCAAUCAGACUCCACCCCAGACCUACUGAAUCAGAGUCUGCAUUUUAACAAGGUCCCAGGGCAUUUAUCUGCACAUUGUAAAGCAAGAGAAACACUGCUCUAGGCUACUGAUCUUCCUGCCUUCAGAAACACUGGGAAGAUCAUUAAUCCCCAAGAAGAAUUUUACUUUUGGUGUAGAGCGUACAAUGUUUGCAAAUAUUUUCAGAUUUUUUGUUUAUAUUAUCUGAAGGUGUGGGAAUUUAUCAGCAACCUUCUCCAUAAUGGUGAUUAAAUAACAGACAAAAAUUAUUAAAAAUAUUUACCUGUCCAAGGCACUGUCCUAAGCAUUUUCAAUGCAUUUAUUCAUUUCAUUUUUCCACUUCAUCUAUGAGUUGCGUUACUCCACUGCACAGAAGAGGAAACAGAGAGACUAAAGAUGCUAGAUGAAAGCUGUUAGGAUC
rnacentral:lncRNA from 1 species